rnacentral:ncRNA from 1 species
AAAAAAUAUAAUUAUUGUUUAGAUAUUUAUAAUUUAAUUAAAUAUAUAAAAAUAUUUUAAGAUAUAAAUAAAUAUAUUUAAAUAAUAUUAAAAAUAAAGUUUAUAUAAAAAUUUAUAAUAAUUAAUAAAUUAAGUUAUAGUAAUUAAAAAUUAAGUUACAAAUAAAUUUAGUGCCAGCAAUUGCGGUUAGACUAAAUAUAAAAAUAAAUAUUUAUAAUUUAUUAAUCAUUAAAAGAUAUAAAUUAAAAAAUUUUAAAAUUUAUGGUGAAAUAUAGAUUUUAAUUAUUUAUUAAUAAUUUAUUUAAAGAGAUUAAAUAAAAAAAUUUAGAAAAAAUAGGAUUAGAUACCCUAGUAUUAUUUAUAAAGAAAUUGUUAAAUUAAGAUAUUAAAUGUUUAAUCAUUAAAUUUAAGUAAUUUGGCGGUAUUUUUUAGUAUUAGAGGGACUUGUUUAAUAAUUGAUAAUCCACGAGUAAAAAGACCUAGUUUAAAUAGUUUUAUAUAUUGUUGUUUGAAAUUUAUCAUUAGAGUGAUUAUAUGUGAUAGUUUUAAUAGAAAUAAAAUUCAAAUCAAAAUGUAGAAUAAUUAGGAUAUAAAAUGAGUCACAAUUAAUUUUAUAAAUUAAUGGAUUUAGCUAAGUAAAGAGUUAGAGAAAGAGGAUUUGAAAGUAAAUUUAUUUAGAUAAAUAGAUUGAAUAGUAUAAAAAAUGUGUACAAAUUGCCCGUCAUUUUCGUUGUAAAAUGAAAAAAGUCGUAACAUAGUAAAUGUAUUGGAAAAUGUAUUUAGAUUAAA